rnacentral:rRNA from 1 species
UGUGCAAAGGUAGCAUAAUCAUUAGUCUUGUAAUUUAGGACUGGAAUGAAUGGUUUAACUAAAUAAUCAUGUCUCAUUAUUAUAUUUCAAAUUUUAUAUUUUAGUAAAAAAGCUAAAAUUCAUUUUAAAGACAAGAAGACCCUAUUAAGCUUUAUAAUUAUAAUUUAAUAUCAAUAUAAAUUAAAUAUUAUUUUACUGGGGCAGUAUAUAGAUAAAAUUUUAUUUUGAUAAUAUGAAUUUAACACUUGAAAAACCAAAAAUUUUUUAAUUAAGAAUAAGUUACUAUAGGGAUAACAGCAUAAUUUNCUUUAAGAGUUCUUAUCAUCAAGAAAGUUUGUGACCUCGAUGNGGGAUUAAGAUACCNAUUUCAUGCAAUAAUAACNAUANGGAAGUCUG